AGAGCGAACGCUGGCGGCAGGCUUAACACAUGCAAGUCGAGCGCCCCGCAAGGGGAGCGGCAGACGGGAGAGUAACACGUGGGAACGUACCUUUCGGUUCGGAACAACCCAGGGAAACUUGGGCUAAUACCGGAUACGCCCGCAAGGGGAAAGAUUUAUCGCCGGAAGAUCGGCCCGCGUCUGAUUAGCUAGUUGGUGAGGUAACGGCUCACCAAGGCGACGAUCAGUAGCUGGUCUGAGAGGAUGAUCAGCCUCACUGGGACUGAGACACGGCCCAGACUCCUACGGGAGGCAGCAGUGGGGAAUAUUGGACAAUGGGCGCAAGCCUGAUCCAGCCAUGCCGCGUGGGUGAUGAAGGCCCUAGGGUUGUAAAGCCCUUUCGGCGGGGAAGAUAAUGACGGUACCCGCAGAAGAAGCCCCGGCUAACUUCGUGCCAGCAGCCGC
rnacentral:rRNA from 1 species